rnacentral:rRNA from 1 species
UACAGGGGUCUCGAGCGUUAAUCGGAAUUACUGGGCUUAAAGGGUGCGUAGGCGGUUCGUUAAGUCUGUCGUGAAAUCCCCGGGCUCAACCUGGGAAUGGCGAUGGAUACUGGCGAGCUAGAGUGUGUCAGAGGAUGGUGGAAUUCCCGGUGUAGCGGUGAAAUGCGUAGAGAUCGGGAGGAACAUCAGUGGCGAAGGCGGCCAUCUGGGACAACACUGACGCUGAAGCACGAAAGCGUGGGGAGCAAACAGG